rnacentral:rRNA from 1 species
UACGAAGGGGGCUAGCGUUGCUCGGAAUCACUGGGCGUAAAGGGUGCGUAGGCGGGUCUUUAAGUCAGGGGUGAAAUCCCAAGGCUCAACCUUGGAACUGCCUUUGAUACUGGGAAUCUUGAGUCCGGGAGAGGUGAGUGGAACUGCGAGUGUAGAGGUGAAAUUCGUAGAUAUUCGCAAGAACACCAGUGGCGAAGGCGGCUCACUGGCCCGGAACUGACGCUGAGGCGCGAAAGCGUGGGGAGCGAACGGG